rnacentral:rRNA from 1 species
GAUGAACGCUGGCGGCGUGCUUAACACAUGCAAGUCGAACGGAAAGGCUCCUGCUUGCAGGGGUACUCGAGUGGCGAACGGGUGAGUAACACGUGGGUGAUCUGCCCUGCACUUCGGGAUAAGCCUGGGAAACUGGGUCUAAUACCGGAUAGGACGAUGGUUUGGAUGCCAUUGUGGAAAGUUUUUCGGUGUGGGAUGAGCUCGCGGCCUAUCAGCUUGUUGGUGGGGUAAUGGCCUACCAAGGCGUCGACGGGUAGCCGGCCUGAGAGGGUGUACGGCCACAUUGGGACUGAGAUACGGCCCAGACUCCUACGGGAGGCAGCAGUGGGGAAUAUUGCACAAUGGGCGCAAGCCUGAUGCAGCGACGCCGCGUGGGGGAUGACGGCCUUCGGGUUGUAAACUCCUUUCGCUAGGGACGAAGCGCAAGUGACGGUACCUGGAGAAGAAGCGCCGGCUAACUACGUG